AGGACGAACGCUGGCGGCGUGCUUAACACAUGCAAGUCGAGCGGAAAGGCCCUUCGGGGUACUCGAGCGGCGAACGGGUGAGUAACACGUGAGCAACCUGCCCUCAGCUCUGGGAUAGCUCCGGGAAACCGGAAUUAAUGCCGGAUAUGACCCUGACUGACAUCGGUCAGGGUGGAAAGGAUUCCGGCUGAGGAUGGACUCGCGGCCUAUCAGCUAGUUGGUGGAGUAACGGCCCACCAAGGCGACGACGGGUAGCCGGCCUGAGAGGGCGACCGGCCACACUGGGACUGAGACACGGCCCAGACUCCUGCGGGAGGCAGCAGUGGGGAAUAUUGCGCAAUGGGCGAAAGCCUGACGCAGCGACGCCGCGUGGGGGAUGAAUGCCUUCGGGUUGUAACCCCUUUCAGCAGGGACGAAGCGAGAGUGACGGUACCUGCAGAAGAAGCGCCGGCUAACUACGUGCCAGCAGCCGC
rnacentral:rRNA from 1 species